rnacentral:sRNA from 1 species
UACGUGAAACAUGCAAUCCGGACGCCUU